AGGACUAACGCUGGCGGCGUGCCUAACACAUGCAAGUCGAACGGGGUAGCAAUACCCAGUGGCAGACGGGUGAGUAACACGUGGUCAACCUACCUCUAUGUGGGGGAUAACUAGCCGAAAGGUUAGCUAAUACCGCAUACGAUCGCUUUGGGGCAUCCCUAGGCGAUGAAAGGAGCAAUCCGCAUAGAGAGGGGACUGCGUCCCAUUAGUUAGUUGGUGGGGUAACGGCCUACCAAGACUCCGAUGGGUAGCUGGCUUGAGAGAGCGACCAGCCACACUGGAACUGAGACACGGUCCAGACUCCUAUGGGAGGCAGCAGUGAGGAAUUUUCCGCAAUGGGCGAAAGCCUGACGGAGCGACGCCGCGUGUGGGAAGAAGGCCUUCGGGUCGUAAACCACUGUCGAAGGGGACGAUAAUGACGGUACCUUGGAGGAAGCCCGGCUAACUACGUGCCGAGCAGCCGC
rnacentral:rRNA from 1 species